rnacentral:rRNA from 1 species
AAAUGAUGGGUAAUACUGUAUAAUCCCCGCGGGGGAAAGAUUUAUCGCUAUUAGAUGAGCCUACGUUAGAUUAGCUAGUUGGUAAGGUAAUGGCUUACCAAGGCUAUGAUCUAUAGCUGGUCUGAGAGGACGAUCAGCCACACUGGAACUGAGAUACGGUCCAGACUCCUACGGGAGGCAGCAGUGGGGAAUAUUGGACAAUGGGCGAAAGCCUGAUCCAGCUAUGCCGCGUGAGUGAAGAAGGCCUUCGGGUUGUAAAACUCUUUCAAUAGGGAAGAUAAUGACGGUACCUAUAGAAGAAGUCCCGGCAAACUCUGUGCCAGCAGCCGCGGUAAUACGGAGGGGGCAAGCGUUGUUCGGAAUUAUUGGGCGUAAAGGGCACGUAGGUGGACUAGUAAGUUAAAAGUGAAAUACCAAAGCUUAACUUUGGAGCGGCUUUUAAUACUGCUAGACUAGAGGUCGAAAGAGGAUAGCGGAAUUCCUAGUGUAGAGGUGAAAUUCGUAGAUAUUAGGAGGAACACCAGUUGCGAAGGCGGCUAUCUGGUUCGAUACUGACACUGAGGUGCGAAAGCGUGGGGAGCAAACAGGAUUAGAUACCCUGGUAGUCCACGCUGUAAACGAUGAGUGCUAAAUGUGAGGAUUUUAUCUUUGUAUUGUAGCUAACGCGUUAAGCACUCCGCCUGGGGACUACGGUCGCAAGACUAAAACUCAAAGGAAUUGACGGGGACCCGCACAAGCGGUGGAGCAUGUGGUUUAAUUCGAUGCUACGCGAAAAACCUUACCACUUUUUGACAUGAAGGUCGUAUCCCUCCUAACAGGGGGAGUCAGUUCGGCUGGACCUUACACAGGUGCUGCAUGGUUGUCGUCAGCUCGUGUCGUGAGAUGUUGGGUUAAGUCCCGCAACGAGCGCAACCCUCAUUCUUAGUUACCAACAGGUAAUGCUGGGCACUCUAAGGAAACUGCCAGUGAUAAACUGGAGGAAGGUGGGGAUGAUGUCAAAUCAGCACGGCCCUUAUAAGGUGGGCUACACACGUGCUACAAUGGCAACUACAAUAGGUUGCGAGACCGCAAGGUUUAGCUAAUCCAUAAAAGUUGUCUCAGUUCGGAUUGUUCUCUGCAACUCGAGAGCAUGAAGUCGGAAUCGCUAGUAAUCGUGGAUCAUCACGCCACGGUGAAUACGUUCUCGGGUCUUGUACACACUGCCCGUCACGCCAUGGGAAUUGGCUUAACUCGAAGCUGGUGUACUAACAGAAAAGGAAAGC